rnacentral:rRNA from 1 species
UGGGGAAUAUUGCACAAUGGGGGAAACCCUGAUGCAGCAACGCCGCGUGAGUGAAGAAGUAUUUCGGUAUGUAAAGCUCUAUCAGCAGGGAAGAAGAAAGACGGUACCUGACUAAGAAGCCCCGGCUAACUACGUGCCAGCAGCCGCGGUAAUACGUAGGGGGCAAGCGUUAUCCGGAUUUACUGGGUGUAAAGGGAGCGUAGACGGCAUAGCAAGUCUGAAGUGAAAGCCCGUGGCUCAACCGCGGAACUGCUUUGGAAACUGUUAAGCUGGAGUACUGGAGAGGCAAGCGGAAUUCCUAGU